GUGUUUAUUUCGGCAGCACGUAUACUAAAGCGGGAAUGCUGCAGAGAAGGUUGGCAUGGCCCUUAUGCAAGGAUGACAUGCAAAUUCAUGAAGCGUUUCAUAUUUAA
ensembl:snRNA U6 U6 spliceosomal RNA